rnacentral:rRNA from 2 species
AUUCAGAUUCGGGAGGCAGCAGUGGGGAAUUUUGGACAAUGGGGGCAACCCUGAUCCAGCCAUCCCGCGUGUGCGAUGAAGGCCUUCGGGUUGUAAAGCACUUUUGGCAGGGAAGAAACGCUUUCCCCUAAUACGGGGAAGCACUGACGGUACCUGCAGAAUAAGCACCGGCUAACUACGUGCCAGCAGCCGCGGUAAUACGUAGGGUGCAAGCGUUAAUCGGAAUUACUGGGCGUAAAGCGUGCGCAGGCGGUUCGGAAAGAAAGGUGUGAAAUCCCAGGGCUUAACCUUGGAACGGCACUUUUAACUCCCGAGCUAGAGUAUGUCAGAGGGGGGUAGAAUUCCACGUGUAGCAGUGAAAUGCGUAGAGAUGUGGAGGAAUACCGAUGGCGAAGGCAACCCCCUGGGAUAAUACUGACGCUCAUGCACGAAAGCGUGGGGAGCAAACAGGAUUAGAUACCCUGGUAGAAU